GAAGAUUCCUGGAAAGUCAGGCCUGGAUAUGCCUCAUGGGGCACAGUUCACCCUGCGGCUUCCACUCAGCUGUGUCACUGGAUAGCUGUUAUCAAGACAUCUUCUGUGAAUUCCUCUCCAUCCUGACACAAGCAAUUGUUCCAGUCUCAAAGCCCCCUCCAGAAGAGAAGCAGGUGA
rnacentral:lncRNA from 1 species